CCAAUUGGCAAUAGGUGGAGAGA
rnacentral:siRNA from 1 species